UGGGGAAUAUUGCACAAUGGGGGAAACCCUGAUGCAGCAACGCCGCGUGAAUGAUGAAGGCCUUCGGGUCGUAAAGUUCUUUGAUUGGGGACGAUAAUGACGGUACCCAAAAAACAAGCCACGGCUAACUACGUGCCAGCAGCCGCGGUAAUACGUAGGUGGCGAGCGUUGUCCGGAUUUACUGGGCGUAAAGGAUGCGUAGGUGGAAAUUUAAGUGGGAUGUGAAAUCCCCGGGCUCAACCCGGGAACUGCAUUCCAAACUGGAUUUCUAGAGUGCAGGAGAGGAAAGCGGAAUUCCUAGUGUAGCGGUGAAAUGCGUAGAUAUUAGGAAGAACACCAGUGGCGAAGGCGGCUUUCUGGACUGUAACUGACACUGAGGCAUGAAAGCGUGGGGAGCAAACAGG
rnacentral:rRNA from 2 species